GCUGGGCGUGGUGGUACACGCCUGUAAUCCCAGUGAUGUGGGAGGCUGAAGCAGGAGGACUGCAAGUUCAAAGCCAGCCUCAGCAAUUCAGCAAGGCCCUAAACAACUUAGCAAGAUCCUGUCUCAA
rnacentral:sRNA from 1 species